AGGAGUUCUCGUUUGUUUGCAUGAAUCCUGAUGGAUCACCGGCAACCGCAGACGAUGUGUUCCAAAACGGCCAGAUCCGUACCGUUUUCCCGCUCUUCAACACAGAUCUCAUCUUGGGCGAAGGCCACCAAGACGGCGUCGUUUCGGCUGCUGAUAAGGCCAUGUCCCUGCGGCCUCCGUUGAAGAAAUUGUUUGUGGAGGGAGGAAAAGAUGCUACGUUUGCCUCUUCGGAAUCAGAAUCGCCGAUGGGGCCUUAUUGCGAGUGGUCGGCGAGAACUGUACAGGAAGCAUCGCCAGGGACCUGCAAAAAGAGCAAUUCGACGGGGUUCUCUAAGCUGUGGAGAUUUCGAGAACUGGUUCAAAGGAGCAACAGUGA
rnacentral:lncRNA from 1 species